AAAAGGGGAGCUGAUAAAUCGGCUGAGAGGAAGGUGAUACCUUCGACCCGUUAACCUGAUUUGGAUAAUGCCAACGUAGGGAUGAAUCAU
rnacentral:ncRNA from 1 species